rnacentral:rRNA from 1 species
AGUGAACGCUGGCGGCAGGCCUAACACAUGCAAGUCGAACGGCAGCACAGAGGAGCUUGCUCCUUGGGUGGCGAGUGGCGGACGGGUGAGGAAUACAUCGGAAUCUGCCUUAUCGUGGGGGAUAACGUAGGGAAACUUACGCUAAUACCGCAUACGACCUACGGGUGAAAGCGGAGGACCUUCGGGCUUCGCGCGAUAAGAUGAGCCGAUGUCGGAUUAGCUAGUUGGCGGGGUAAAGGCCCACCAAGGCGACGAUCCGUAGCUGGUCUGAGAGGAUGAUCAGCCACACUGGAACUGAGACACGGUCCAGACUCCUACGGGAGGCAGCAGUGGGGAAUAUUGGACAAUGGGCGCAAGCCUGAUCCAGCCAUGCCGCGUGGGUGAAGAAGGCCUUCGGGUUGUAAAGCCCUUUUGUCCGGAAAGAAAAGCACUGGGUUAAUACCUCGGUGUUCUGACGGUACCGGAAGAAUAAGCACCGGCUAACUCCGUGCCAGCAGCCGCCGUAACAC